UACGAAGGGGGCUAGCGUUGUUCGGAUUUACUGGGCGUAAAGCGCACGUAGGCGGUUUGUUAAGUCAGGGGUGAAAUCCCGGAGCUCAACUCCGGAACUGCCUUUGAUACUGGCAAGCUAGAGUCCGGAAGAGGUAAGUGGAACUCCUAGUGUAGAGGUGGAAUUCGUAGAUAUUAGGAAGAACACCAGUGGCGAAGGCGGC
rnacentral:rRNA from 1 species